rfam:Otolemur garnettii contig164299, whole genome shotgun sequence.
UUUAAAGAGAUUAUAUUAAUUGGGGCUCACUUUGGUAUGAUAGAAAAGAUUAGCAUGGUCCCUGCCCAAGGGAUGACACACAAAUUCUUGGAACAUUCCGUGCUUUU